rnacentral:rRNA from 1 species
AACGAACGCUGGCGGCAUGCCUAACACAUGCAAGUCGAACGAGACCUUCGGGUCUAGUGGCGCACGGGUGCGUAACGCGUGGGAACCUGCCCUUAGGUUCGGAAUAACUCCCCGAAAGGGGUGCUAAUACCGGAUAAUGUCUUCGGACCAAAGAUUUGUAGCCUUUGGAUGGGCCCGCGUUGGAUUAGCUAGUUGGUAGGGUAAAAGCCUACCAAGGCGACGAUCCAUAGCUGGUUUGAGAGGAUGAUCAGCCACACUGGGAUUGGGACACGGCCCAGACUCCUGCGGGAGGCAGGGGAGGGGAAUAUUGGAGAAUGGGCGAGAGCCUGAGCCAGCAAUGCCGGGUGAGUGAUGAAGGCCUUAGGGUUGUAAAGCGCUAUUACCCGGGAUGAUAAUGACAGUACCGGGAGAAUAAGCACCGGCUAACUCCGUG